rnacentral:rRNA from 1 species
AUUGAACGCUGGCGGCAGGCCUAACACAUGCAAGUCGAACGGUAACAGGAAGAAGCUUGCUUUCUUUGCUGACGAGUGGCGGACGGGUGAGUAAUGUCUGGGAAACUGCCUGAUGGAGGGGGAUAACUACUGGAGACGGUAGCUAAUACCGCAUAACGUCGCAAGACCAAAGAGGGGGACCUUCGGGCCUCUUGCCAUCGGAUGUGCCCAGAUGGGAUUAGCUUGUUGGUGGGGUAACGGCUCACCAAGGCGACGAUCCCUAGCUGGUCUGAGAGGAUGACCAGCCACACUGGAACUGAGACACGGUCCAGACUCCUACGGGAGGCAGCAGUGGGGAAUAUUGCACAAUGGGCGCAAGCCUGAUGCAGCCAUGCCGCGUGUAUGAAGAAGGCCUUCGGGUUGUAAAGUACUUUCAGCGGGGAGGAAGGGAGUAAAGUUAAUACCUUUGCUCAUUGACGUUACCCGCAGAAGAAGCACCGGCUAACUCCGUGCCAGCAGCCGCGGUAAUACGGAGGGUGCAAGCGUUAAUCGGAAUUACUGGGCGUAAAGCGCACGCAGGCGGUUUGUUAAGUCAGAUGUGAAAUCCCCGGGCUCAACCUGGGAACUGCAUCUGAUACUGGCAAGCUUGAGUCUCGUAGAGGGGGGUAGAAUUCCAGGUGUAGCGGUGAAAUGCGUAGAGAUCUGGAGGAAUACCGGUGGCGAAGGCGGCCCCCUGGACGAAGACUGACGCUCAGGUGCGAAAGCGUGGGGAGCAAACAGGAUUAGAUACCCUGGUAGUCCACGCCGUAAACGAUGUCGACUUGGAGGUUGUGCCCUUGAGGCGUGGCUUCCGGAGCUAACGCGUUAAGUCGACCGCCUGGGGAGUACGGCCGCAAGGUUAAAACUCAAAUGAAUUGACGGGGGCCCGCACAAGCGGUGGAGCAUGUGGUUUAAUUCGAUGCAACGCGAAGAACCUUACCUGGUCUUGACAUCCACGGAAGUUUUCAGAGAUGAGAAUGUGCCUUCGGGAACCGUGAGACAGGUGCUGCAUGGCUGUCGUCAGCUCGUGUUGUGAAAUGUUGGGUUAAGUCCCGCAACGAGCGCAACCCUUAUCCUUUGUUGCCAGCGGUCCGGCCGGGAACUCAAAGGAGACUGCCAGUGAUAAACUGGAGGAAGGUGGGGAUGACGUCAAGUCAUCAUGACCCUUACGACCAGGGCUACACACGUGCUACAAUGGCGCAUACAAAGAGAAGCGACCUCGCGAGAGCAAGCGGACCUCAUAAAGUGCGUCGUAGUCCGGAUUGGAGUCUGCAACUCGACUCCAUGAAGUCGGAAUCGCUAGUAAUCGUGGAUCAGAAUGCCACGGUGAAUACGUUCCCGGGCCU